CUAAGGAGAAAGGCUUACUAACACUAAGCAUUAAAAAACAAUUUCUUCAUUUGUUCAUCAUAUUCAGUUUUGAGAGACUUUAAGUAGUAACUCAAUCGUGGGGCCUGUAGCUCAGUUGGUUAGAGCACACGCUUGAUAAGCGUGGGGUCGAUGGUUCAAGUCCAUUCAGGCCCACCAUUUAUAUAAGUUGGGGCUUUAGCUCAGCUGGGAGAGCGCAUGCUUUGCACGCAUGAGGCCAGCGGUUCGAUCCCGCUAAGCUCCACCAUUUAGGACCUAAUGGUUCUGAUGAGAUCUUUGAAAAGUAGAUAAAGAAGUCUGAAAUAUAAGAAAAGGU
rnacentral:misc_RNA from 1 species